rnacentral:lncRNA from 1 species
ACAGGUGCGAAAGCUGAGCUUAGCAUGGCUAAGUCCUUUGGACAAACUUGUGUGGCUUGUUACAAGGAGCCAGAGGUUGAAUCUGGUUCUGGAUCAGGCUCUUCCUUGCCUAGAUUUUCAGGUCCUGGAUAAUAUACUUCUCUAAGCUGGGCCUCUGUUUCCCCACUUGCAAAUGAGAAAAUUAGGAUAACCCAGAAUCUUCUGGUUCUAAAGUUGAGUGGCUUCCACAGUAAGAAAAGGGUAACUAACUUUUAUGGACUAAAUUGUGACCUUCCAGAAUUAAUGUGUUGAAACCCUAGACCCCAGUGUGAUGGUACUUGGAGACAGGGCCUGUAAGGAGGUAAUUAAAUUAUCUGACCUCCAGAACUCCAGAACCAUGAACAAACAAGUUUCUCUUGUUUAAGGAACAGUCUGGCAUUUUGGUGUGGUGGCCCAAGCUGACAAACACAUGGACCAUCACACGAGGAUCCACGGAUUGGAAGGAGUCCCUAAUGGUGGAUUGGGAAGGAUCAUCCAGAUCAAACUCUGGAUAUGGGCCAGAGGGAGAUAUCCCAGAUGGACCGAAGAUGGGAGUCGAGAUAAGCAGAAUAAAGGAAGAAGACCUGUCAUCCUAACGUGGUCGGCCAGCUGCCUGUAUAAUAUUGUUAAUAAGCUGAAAGGGUGGUUGGUCCUGCAGUCUGCCUGGAUGGAGAUGGAUGUGCAUUUCUGUUCUGGAGCGGGCGCUUGGGGCUGUUCCUUUUAAGAGGUAGAAA